GCACGCCAACCGCUAAAUGUCACAGUCAUUAGACUAAAUUCUGGCGUCUCCGGAUCCCGCCCAUACCCCCGAAGAUACCAACCCAUCGUCCAAGGAUCCCAUCAAAUUGGGUGUGACCAGCAGGUGGCCGCCUAACUAACCAUAUAUAUGUACAUAUGCAUGUUUUCUUCGCUUUGCCUAGCACCAGCUUGUGGCACCAGAGCAAAAAUUACUUUACUGUGUCGUGCUGUUGAGGCACGCGGAGCCGCACCCAGUUUCUUGGUCUAGAGUCGAGUUUGUUGUCAUUUUCGCUUUCAUAUCCAUAUUCACAGGCACAGCCACAUCCACAAAGGGAGGACCUGCUAGUGAAAUAUCUAGCAUUACAUUUGGGGCGGUGUCAAGGGGAGGUUAUUCUAUUUCUUUGUUUGUUUUUUUACAAGUUUGCCAUUUUGCCCCAUACAGGGUGAGUAUCCCACUCCCGUUCCACUUAUUUGAAUACCUUGCGUGGAUUCCAGGGAUCCAGCUCGUCUAGCUCUGUCCAUGGACAGCAGUCUGCACUGGAUAGGCAAAGCAGCCAGACGUAUUCGGGCGUAGGAUUCGAGCCUGCAGCAGUUCAUAAAUCAUCCAAAAAAUGGAUGACAAUACAGACUUCCGUGACGUUUGGCUGGAGACCGUGACCAUUGGGGGGUUUCGUGUUUGGCACAUAAUAGCCGCUGUCCUGGGCAUACUUAUGGGAAUCAUGAUUAUGGUCUGCUGUUGCAUACGAUUCCGCAUACCGCGCACCAAACAGGAGAUCGAGGCGGACUAUCAGCGCAAGCAAAUCACAAAAAAGUUUCGCGAGAAGCUGCAGCAAAUUAAGAACUCGGAAAUGGACGAUAUGGACCUACAGAAGGCACUUGCUUACAUCAAACUGGAACAGUACGAUGAUCCCUAAGGGCUUGUAAAUUCACUAGCACACUGUACAAACUAUUGGAAGUACCCAAGAACUAGCCUCUGUAUCCCAAAGAACACUGCCAAUUUUGUGUUCGAAUUCAAAGCGAUUUACUGAACCUCCAGGCGAGCGUGGAGAGCAUGAACGAGAAGCAAAAUGUUAAGUUUAAGAUCUAGAUACGGAACUGUUACUAAACUCUAUAUGAUAUGAUGUGAAGUCAAGUGUGUUGGUAUCCUAUACUAUAUAACUCUAGCAAGAUAAAAGCUUACAAACUAGACAAGCAGGGAAUUUUCAUAUUGAAGAACAUUAAUCACACGUCUCCUCAU